rnacentral:lncRNA from 1 species
GCUUUAUGCUAAUUUCCCUGCAACUGAUCUGGUAAAGUUCAACUAUAUGCAAAUUUCGGUACAGCUAAGGAUAUAUGUAUCAUUGAUGAUAACUUGUAAUAAAUUGCAUAAAGUCUGAAAGGGAGAAAGGCAAGGUUCUUCAUAUUCAUUGUGUGUCUCAUUCACUGCAAAUAUCUCAAUUUCUUGUGUAAUCAGUUGCUCUGUGCCUUCCAGUGGUGCAAGAAAAAAAUCAGCAUGACAAUCAAAUUCAAGUGUACAUAUUUUUUCAUUAUCAAAUUGCUGUUCUUUUGCUGUAUAAGUGUGGUCUGAGUGUUAGUGAUAGAAAUAGAAUUUCCUCAGAACGUACAAACUCGACCAGAGAUGUGUCAUAGUUGGAUGAUCCUUUUCAUCUUCAGUGUGGAUUGAAACUGCAACAGAUAUCUCCUCCAUAAUGGUACCAACAGCUAUCCAUGGUCGAGGAUUACCUUU